rnacentral:lncRNA from 1 species
ACAGUUUCCAUUGUCGAUUACAAGAAACUACCGACUGAAAUCCUUCAAAUCGCACAGAUGUGUGACAAGCAUAACAGUAAAUACGAGUUUUUCUGUAAAAAGCACGAUUGUGUAUGUUGUAAAUGUUGUUUGAAAUAUCAUAAAAGUUGCAAAGGUGUAACAGACAUCAACAAAGUAACAAAAAACGUCAAAACUUCAAAUGCAUUUCAUGAAAUAGAUCAAUCUUUGCUUGAAGCUGUUGUGAAUAUCAAACGGAUAAGUUCUAACAGGGAAGAGAAUUUAACAUCGCUGGUAAACCAGAAAAGAGAAAUCGAAGAAGAAAUACAACAAACCAGAACCAAGAUAAAUAAUCACCUUGAUAAACUUCAGAAUGAUUUGAUGAAAGAAUUAAUGGCAACAGAACAAAAAGAAAGCAGCAAAAUACGAAAGUUGUUAACUACUUUAAAACAGAAGGAACAAAAGGUCGCAAAAUAUCAGACAAACUUAGCGAAUAUAAAUCAGUUUGCAUCGGAGCUUCACACAUUUUUGUCAAUGAAGCAUAUUCAAAAAGAUAUGACAAUCGAAGACGAGUUUAUUCAAUCGCUGUUCAAAAGUGACACCACGGAUCAAGUCAAUAUUUCAUGCAAUAUUAACAAGCCUUUACAACAAUUCACAGCCAUCGUUCAGAAGUUUGGUGAAAUUAAUGUUUCUUCCGAACUUUGUAAGGUGUCCAUUCAGAUACAGAAGCACAAACAAGCCCAG